rnacentral:rRNA from 1 species
AAAGGAAUUGACGGGGGCCCGCACAAGCGGAGGAACAUGUGGUUUAAUUCGAUGAUACGCGAGGAACCUUACCUGGGCUUAAAUGUAGAUUGCAUGUGGUGGAAACAUCCUUCCCUUCGGGGCUAUCUACAAGGUGCUGCAUGGUUGUCGUCAGCUCGUGCCGUGAGGUGUCGGGUUAAGUCCCAUAACGAGCGCAACCCUUAUCGUUAGUUGCCAUCAGGUCAUGCUGGGGACUCUAGCGAGACUGCCACCGUAAGGUGAGAGGAAGGUGGGGAUGACGUCAAAUCAGCACGGCCCUUAUGUCCAGGGCUACACACGUGUUACAAUGGCAGGUACAAAGGGCAGCUACACCGCGAGGUGAUGCUAAUCUCUAAAGCCUGUCCCAGUUCGGAUUGGAGUCUGAAACCCGACUCCAUGAAGUUGGAUUCGCUAGUAAUCGCGCAUCAGCCAUGGCGCGGUGAAUACGUUCCCGGGCCUUGUACACACCGCCCGU